AGAGGAGCUAAGUGGUAGAGAAAUGGAAGAGAAAGAUAAAAAGGAUGUAGAUAUGAUGAAGAGAGGCAGAAUUGGAGGUUCAAGAGUAGUGAAGAACAGUCUAAUAUGAGUAGCUCUUGUUGCCACCCAGGACCGUGGUGGAGUCUGGCCUGUGCUGCUACCAGGAGCCAUUUUUGAAUCUGUGGUCCUGAAGCAUCAGGGGUCUGUUCCCCACAAAGGCCAGGCAGAUGUUCCUGAUCUUGGCUUUUGCCCAGAGACAUGUUGAUGUCUGAGGGCUAUACAGAACUGACCCCACCCUCACCUGGGCAUCAUGGGAGAGUUGGCCCUAGGGGCAUGAGAGCAGAAGAGAUGACCUUGUCCUUUUACAGCUGCAGAAACUGAGAAAAGGCUCUGCACCUUCCGUGGGCAUCAGAGUAGAGCCGACCUUGGUGGAGGGGAUGUGAGAAAGUUGGCCCUGAAGAUGAAUUUGAAUCCUGCAACAUGGCUGCUCUUUCAAAUGAUCACAUCCAAAAAUUUUCUAGUUCUGUAUGAUCUGACCAGAAUGCAAACAUGCCCUGGAUUCCAUAUAGUAUGAUCUGACUGGGAUACAGCAUGCACAGAAUCUUUCAGAAUUAUGAAAGGUAACCCACAGAACUGAAACUUCCAAGUGAGUACCAGCUUCAUUUCUCUACUUCCUGUGCCUCAAGCACAUGGUAACUUCAACUACACAAGAGUAUGCUCCGUCUAUGUUCUGCAUCCAGAGUCUCCCUUUAAAGAAGCAAUGAUGUGGAUUUAUUUUGCAUAACUCUGGAGUAGCUGAGAAUAUGGCUUUUAUCCCUCUAAACAUUGGAGUUCCACAGUCAGCCAUAAAAUUAUGAGACUACCAGUUGACCUGUUCGUCUUCAAAGGACCCACCCUUCAUGAAGAGCUACAAACUUUGGGUCCUGGGAGAGGAAGAAUCAGUGUUUUCUAG
rnacentral:lncRNA from 1 species